GUGGGGAAUAUUGGGCAAUGGGCGCAAGCCUGACCCAGCCAUGCCGCGUGAGUGAUGAAGGCCUUCGGGUCGUAAAGCUCUGUGGAGAGGGAAGAACAUCGCUGUGGCUAAUAUCCACGGUGACUGACGGUACCUCUUUAGCAAGCACCGGCUAACUUCGUGCCAGCAGCCGCGGUAAUACGAGGGGUGCAAACGUUGCUCGGAAUCAUUGGGCGUAAAGCGCGCGUAGGCGGCCUGUUAAGUCGGGUGUGAAAGCCCUGGGCUCAACCCAGGAAGUGCACUCGAAACUGGCAGGCUUGAAUCUGGAAGAGGGUCGCGGAAUUCCCGGUGUAGAGGUGAAAUUCGUAGAUAUCGGGAGGAACACCAGUGGCGAAAGCGGCGACCUGGGCCAAGAUUGACGCUGAGGCGCGAAAGCGUGGGGAGCAAACAGGAUUAGAUACCCCAGUAGUCC
rnacentral:rRNA from 1 species